UCGGGAAUUUUGGGCAAUGGGCGAAAGCCUGACCCAGCAACGCCGCGUGAAGGAUGAAGUUUUUCGGAAUGUAAACUUCGUAAGAAUAGGAAGAAUAAAUGACGGUACUAUUUGUAAGGUCCGGCUAACUACGUGCCAGCAGCCGCGGUAAUACGUAGGGACCAAGCGUUGUUCGGAUUUACUGGGCGUAAAGGGCGCGUAGGCGGCAAUUCAAGUCAGCUGUGAAAUCUCCGGGCUUAACUCGGAACGGUCAGCUGAUACUGCUUUGCUAGAGUGCAGAAGGGGCAAUCGGAAUUCUUGGUGUAGCGGUGAAAUGCGUAGAUAUCAAGAGGAACACCUGAGGUGAAGACGGGUUGCUGGGCUGACACUGACGCUGAGGCGCGAAAGCUAGGGUAGCAAACGGG
rnacentral:rRNA from 1 species